CCUACGGGUGGCAGCAGUCGAGAAUCAUUCACAAUGGGAGAGAUCCUGAACCAGCCAAGCCGCGUGAGGGAAGACGGCCCUAUGGGUUGUAAACCUCUUUUGUCGGAGAACAAAACCCGGGACGUGUCCCGGACUGCGUGUAUCCGAAGAAAAAGCAUCGGCUAACUCCGUGCCAGCAGCCGCGGUACUACGGAGGAUGCGAGCGUUAUCCGGAUUUAUUGGGUUUAAAGGGUGCGUAGGCGGUCCGUUAAGUCAGCGGUAAAAUUGCGGGGCUCAACCCCGUCGAGCAGUUGAAACUGGCAGACGUGAGUUGGCGAGAGGGACGUAGAAUGCGCGGUGUAGCGGUGAAAUGCAUAGAUAUCGCGCAGAACUCCGAUUGCGAAGGCAGCGUACCGGCGCCAGACUGACGCUGAGGUACGAAAGCGUGGGGAUCGAACAGGAUUAGAUACCCUUGUAGUC
rnacentral:rRNA from 1 species